rnacentral:rRNA from 1 species
UACGUAGGGGGCGAGCGUUGUCCGGAUUUACUGGGCGUAAAGAGCGCGUAGGCGGGUUCUUAAGUGAGAGGUGAAAGGUUCAGGGCUCAACCCGAACAGUGCCUUUCAUACUGGGAGCCUUGAGUGUGGGAGAGGCGAGUGGAAUUUCUGGUGUAGCGGUGAAAUGCGUAGAUAUCAGAAGGAACACCCAUGGCGAAGGCAGCUCGCUGGCCUACAACUGACGCUGAGGCGCGAAAGCGUGGGGAGCAAACAGG